UACGUAGGUGGCAAGCGUUGUCCGGAUUUAUUGGGCGUAAAGAGCGCGCAGGCGGUUCGUUAAGUCCGAGGUGAAAUCUCCCGGCUCAACUGGGAGGGGUCUUCGGGUACUGGCGGACUUGAGGAGUGCAGAGGUGAGUGGAAUUCUCGGUGUAGUGGUGAAAUGCGUAGAUAUCUGGAGGAACACCGGUGGCGAAGGCGGCAUCCUGGACCGGCAUUGACGCUGAGGCGCGAAAGCUAGGGGAGCAAACGGG
rnacentral:rRNA from 1 species